rnacentral:rRNA from 1 species
AAACAUUGCUUUUUGACAAUUCAUAAAAAGUAAUUCCUGCCCAGUGAAUAUAUUCAACGGCCGCGGUAUCCUAACCGUGCAAAGGUAGCAUAAUCACUUGCCCAUUAAUUGUGGGCUAGAAUGAACGGACCAACGAAAUAAAACCUGUCUCUGUAAACUUUAUAUAAAUUAAAAUCUAACUGAAGAUUGUUAGAUGCCACUGAAGGACAAGAAGACCCUAUAGAGCUUAAUUUUAAAUUGUACUAAAAUCAGUCUAAAAAUUCGGUUGGGGCGACCAGGGAAAUUAAUAAUCAUCCCUUAGUCAAAGAUUUAUUAAUCUAUAAAUAAGACCCUACUAAGAUCUAAAGAACAAGCUACCUUAGGGAUAACAGGCUAAUCCUGCUAAAGAGUCCUUAUCUAUAGCGGGGGUUGGCACCUCGAUGUUGGCUUAGGGAAUCUAUAUAAUGCAAAAGUUAUAUGAAGAUGGUUUGUUCAACCAAUAACACCCUACGUGAUC